AGACCCGAAACCCGGUGAUCUAGCCAUGGGCAGGUUGAAGGUUGGGUAACACUAACUGGAGGACCGAACCGACUAAUGUUGAAAAAUUAGCGGAUGACCUGUGGCUGGGGGUGAAAGGCCAAUCAAACCGGGAGAUAGCUGGUUCUCCCCGAAAGCUAUUUAGGUAGCGCCUCGUGAAUUCAUCUCCGGGGGUAGAGCACUGUUUCGGCUAGGGGGCCAUCCCGGCUUACCAACCCGAUGCAAACUGCGAAUACCGGAGAAUGUUAUCACGGGAGACACACGGCGGGUGCUAACGUCCGUCGUGAAGAGGGAAACAACCCAGACCGCCAGCUAAGGUCCCAAAGUCAUGGUUAAGUGGGAAACGAUGUGGGAAGGCCCAGACAGCCAGGAUGUUGGCUUAGAAGCAGCCAUCAUUUAAAGAAAGCGUAAUAGCUCACUGGUCGAGUCGGCCUGCGCGGAAGAUGUAACGGGGCUAAACCAUGCACCGAAGCUGCGGCAGCGACACUCAGGUGUUGUUGGGUAGGGGAGCGUUCUGUAAGCCUGUGAAGGUGUGUCGUGAGGCAUGCUGGAGGUAUCAGAAGUGCGAAUGCUGACAUAAGUAACGAUAAAGCGGGUGAAAAGCCCGCUCGCCGGAAGACCAAGGGUUCCUGUCCAACGUUAAUCGGGGCAGGGUGAGUCGACCCCUAAGGCGAGGCCGAAAGGCGUAGUCGAUGGGAAACGGGUUAAUAUUCCCGUACUUGGUGUUACUGCGAAGGGGGGACGGAGAAGGCUAUGUUGGCCGGGCGACGGUUGUCCCGGUUUAAGCGUGUAGGUGUGUGUUCCAGGUAAAUCCGGUUCACUUUAACACUGAGGCGUGAUGACGAGGCACUACGGUGCUGAAGCAACAAAUGCCCUGCUUCCAGGAAAAGCCUCUAAGCAUCAGGUAACAUCAAAUCGUACCCCAAACCGACACAGGUGGUCAGGUAGAGAAUACCAAGGCGCUUGAGAGAACUCGGGUGAAGGAACUAGGCAAAAUGGUGCCGUAACUUCGGGAGAAGGCACGCUGACACGUAGGUGAAGUGAUUUACUCAUGGAGCUGAAGUCAGUCGAAGAUACCAGCUGGCUGCAACUGUUUAUUAAAAACACAGCACUGUGCAAACACGAAAGUGGACGUAUACGGUGUGACGCCUGCCCGGUGCCGGAAGGUUAAUUGAUGGGGUCAGCGCAAGCGAAGCUCCUGAUCGAAGCCCCGGUAAACGGCGGCCGUAACUAUAACGGUCCUAAGGUAGCGAAAUUCCUUGUCGGGUAAGUUCCGACCUGCACGAAUGGCGUAAUGAUGGCCAGGCUGUCUCCACCCGAGACUCAGUGAAAUUGAACUCGCUGUGAAGAUGCAGUGUACCCGCGGCAAGACGGAAAGACCCCGUGAACCUUUACUAUAGCUUGACACUGAACAUUGAGCCUUGAUGUGUAGGAUAGGUGGGAGGCUUUGAAGCGUGGACGCCAGUCUGCGUGGAGCCGACCUUGAAAUACCACCCUUUAAUGUUUGAUGUUCUAACGUGGACCCGUGAUCCGGGUUGCGGACAGUGUCUGGUGGGUAGUUUGACUGGGGCGGUCUCCUCCUAAAGAGUAACGGAGGAGCACGAAGGUUGGCUAAUCCUGGUCGGACAUCAGGAGGUUAGUGCAAUGGCAUAAGCCAGCUUGACUGCGAGCGUGACGGCGCGAGCAGGUGCGAAAGCAGGUCAUAGUGAUCCGGUGGUUCUGAAUGGAAGGGCCAUCGCUCAACGGAUAAAAGGUACUCCGGGGAUAACAGGCUGAUACCGCCCAAGAGUUCAUAUCGACGGCGGUGUUUGGCACCUCGAUGUCGGCUCAUCACAUCCUGGGGCUGAAGUAGGUCCCAAGGGUAUGGCUGUUCGCCAUUUAAAGUGGUACGCGAGCUGGGUUUAGAACGUCGUGAGACAGUUCGGUCCCUAUCUGCCGUGGGCGCUGGAGAACUGAGGGGGGCUGCUCCUAGUACGAGAGGACCGGAGUGGACGCAUCACUGGUGUUCGGGUUGUCAUGCCAAUGGCACUGCCCGGUAGCUAAAUGCGGAAGAGAUAAGUGCUGAAAGCAUCUAAGCACGAAACUUGCCCCGAGAUGAGUUCUCCCUGAGACUUAGAGUCUCCUGAAGGAACGUUGAAGACGACGACGUUGAUAGGCCGGGUGUGUAAGCGCAGCGAUGCGUUGAGCUAACCGGUACUAAUGAACCGUGAGG
rnacentral:rRNA from 2 species